rnacentral:rRNA from 1 species
GGCUCAACCUGGGAAUGGCAUUGGAAACUGGCUGACUAGAGUGCGGUAGAGGGUAGUGGAAUUCCCGGUGUAGCAGUGAAAUGCGUAGAUAUCGGGAGGAACAUCUGUGGCGAAGGCGACUACCUGGACCAGCACUGACACUGAGGCACGAAAGCGUGGGGAGCAAACAGGAUUAUAUACCCUGGUAGUCCACGCCCUAAUCGAUGCGAACUGUAUGUU